AUUGAACGCUGGCGGCAGGCCUAACACAUGCAAGUCGAGCGCGCGGCGCGCGGGUGAGUAAUGUCUGGAACUUGCCCUGUCGAGGGGGAUCUCCGUGGGAAACGACUGCUUAUCCCGCAUUCGAUUUGAUCGCUCAGGUGGGAUUAGCUAGUUGGGGAGGUAAUGGCUCACCAAGGCGACGAUCCCUAGCUGGUCUGAGAGGAUGAUCAGCCACACUGGAACUGAGACACGGUCCAGACUCCGACGGGAGGCAGCAGUGGGGAAUAUUGCACAAUGGGGGAAACCCUGAUGCAGCCAUGCCGCGUGUGUGAAGAAGGCCUUCGGGUUGUAAAGUACUUUCAGCGAGGAGGCGUUACUCGCAGAAGAAGCACCGGCUAACUCCGUGCCAGCAGCCGCGGUAAUUC
rnacentral:rRNA from 1 species